CUAAUUUGGAGGCAGUGGAAAUCGAGCUUCAUGAGAAGUAUGAUUAUUAUAAACUGCCUGUGGAGCUCUAGGAUGAGACACAAUGGAUAUGUGAAUGAACUGGACAUUUGUCUUCUCAUCCAUCCACACGCUGCAGCCCCAGAUGGAUCCUGCAGCUGCCCCUGCACCGUGGCCAGGCUGGAAGCCUGGAGCAUCCCACAGGUGACCUCCUCUUCCCCAGCAGCCCACCUGAUCCAGGUCUUCUCUGCAGAGCCACCAGCUCAGCUCUGGUACUUCCCAGUUCCUUGGAGUUCAUUCAUUUUUCCAAGAGUUUUUAUAAGAAAUCUCUAGCAUUUCCCCUAUUAUUAUUUCACUCUACAUAUUAGCUUGUCAAAAUUUGAAGAUUGAAGCUAUGAAACAGUUUUUUCUUCUCUGUUGGAGAACAGUUAAUUUCUUUAGAAUUAAUACCCUCUUAAUUGCAACCCACUGCUCAUUAGAAAACAAAUUACUGGGAAAUUAUUUGUCCUUUAUGUUGCUUAUGUCUCUGUUUCACAAAAGCAGGAACAUCCCACACAGCCCUUCCCAGCACAGGGACAUCGUGGCACAAGGACCAGCCAUUGGUGGCCUGUCCUUCCAGCACUGUGCUGGCAGAGGUGACUCUGCUGGGACACCUGUGCCAGCCCUGGGACAGGCUCUGGACAUCAUCUGGAGGUGAUGCUGUGUUCCUGCUGCAGGCAAAGGGAGAAGCUGAGCUGCAGAAACAACCAAGAACUAAUAAAUCACCCCAGUUCCAUCUACAGCUGGAGCACAUUGUGAAAAUGAGGUGUCAGAGCCUGUGUGUGCUGGGUAUCCUCAAGCUCAGAAUACCCCAGUACUGCCCCAAAAUGUUGACAUAAAUGGAAUCCGAGACAGGUCUGUUAAAUGGGUAAGUAGGAGAUUAAAAAAGGAAAGAGUGAAAGUUCCCUGCAGCCUAAUCACAUCUCUUAGGGGAAUUCCUGCACCAACCCAGCCGUGAAGCUGGCACAAAUCGAUGUGGCCCAGGGGAUCAACAUUUUACAUAUAUAUAUAUAAAAAAUUGUAAACAUCUUUUAUGUAUGCAAUGUAAUAACUACACUCAGCAUCAUGGGCUCUAAAAGCAAAUGUUAUGGGCAGUUGUAUUGCAAUAAAGUGGUUAAAUGGGAAA